GAUUUGAAAUCGUGCUUUGCGGCACGAGUUGUAGAUUGCAGGUUGGAGUCUGUGUGGAAGGCGGUGUCCAAGUCCCUUGGAACAGGGCGCCCAGGAGGGUGAGAGCCCCGUGGGAUGCCGGCGGAAGCAGUGAGGCCCUUCUGACGAGUCGAGUUGUUUGGGAAUGCAGCUCCAAGCGGGUGGUAAAUUCCAUCUAAGGCUAAAUACUGGCGAGAGACCGAUAGCGAACAAGUACUGUGAAGGAAAGAUGAAAAGCACUUUGAAAAGAGAGUGAAACAGCACGUGAAAUUGUUGAAAGGGAAGGGUAUUGCGCCCGACAUGGGGAUUGCGCACCGCUGCCUCUCGUGGGCGGCGCUCUGGGCUUUCCCUGGGCCAGCAUCGGUUCUUGCUGCAGGAGAAGGGGUUCUGGAACGUGGCUCUUCGGAG
rnacentral:rRNA from 1 species